GAUGAACGCUGGCGGCGUGCCUAAUACAUGCAAGUCGAGCGAAUGGAUUGAGAGCUUGCUCUUAUGAAGUUAGCGGCGGACGGGUGAGUAACACGUGGGUAACCUGCCCAUAAGACUGGGAUAACUCCGGGAAACCGGGGCUAAUACCGGAUAACAUUUUGAGCCGCAUGGUUCGAAAUUGAAAGGCGGCUUCGGCUGUCACUUAUGGAUGGACCCGCGUCGCACUAGCUAGUUGGUGAGGUAACGGCUCACCAAGGCAACGAUGCGUAGCCGACCUGAGAGGGUGAUCGGCCACACUGGGACUGAGACACGGCCCAGACUCCUACGGGAGGCAGCAGUAGGGAAUCUUCCGCAAUGGACGAAAGUCUGACGGAGCAACGCCGCGUGAGUGAUGAAGGCUUUCGGGUCGUAAAACUCUGUUGUUAGGGAAGAACAAGUGCUAGUUGAAUAAGCUGGCACCUUGACGGUACCUAACCAGAAAGCCACGGCUAACUACGUGCCAGCCGCCGCGGUAA
rnacentral:rRNA from 1 species